rnacentral:rRNA from 1 species
UCAUGGAGAAGUCUGAUGGAGCACGCCGCGUGAGCGAUGAAGGCCUUCGGGUCGUAAAGCUCUGUUGUUAGGGAAGAACAAGUGCGAGAGUAACUGCUCGCACCUUGACGGUACCUAACCAGAAAGCCACGGCUAACUACGUGCCAGCAGCCGCGGUAAUACGAA